rnacentral:rRNA from 1 species
UACGAAGGGUGCAAGCGUUAUCCGGAUUCAUUGGGUUUAAAGGGUGCGUAGGCGGAGCGUUAAGUCAGUGGUGAAAUCCUGCAGCUCAACUGUAGACUUGCCAUUGAUACUGGCGCUCUUGAGUGCGCUUGAAGUAGGCGGAAUGUGCCGUGUAGCGGUGAAAUGCUUAGAUAUGUGGAGGAAUACCGAUGGCGAAGGCAGCCCCCUGGGAUAACACUGACGCUCAUGCACGAAAGCGUGGGGAGCAAACAGG